AUCGGAUUAAUUCGAUGCAACGCGAAGAACCUUACCAAGGCUUGACAUACACUAGACCGGCCUGGAAACAGGUCCUCUUCUUUGAGGUUGGUGUACAGGUGGUGCAUGGUUGUCGUCAGCUCGUGUCGUGAGAUGUUGGGUUAAGUCCCGCAACGAGCGCAACCCUCGUUCUAUGUUGCCAGCACGUAAUGGUGGGAACUCAUAGGAGACUGCCGGGGUCAACUCGGAGGAAGGUGGGGAUGACGUCAAAUCAUCAUGCCCUUUAUGUCUUGGGCUUCACGCAUGCUACAAUGGCUGGUACAGAGAGAUGCGAGACCGCGAGGUUUUAGCGAAUCCCUUAAAGCCAGUCUCAGUUCGGAUCGUAGUCUGCAAUUCGACUACGUGAAGUCGGAGUCGCUAGUAAUCGCAGAUCAGCAACGCUGCGGUGAAUACGUUCCCGGGCCUUGUACACACCGCCCGUCAAGUCACGAAAGUCGGUAACACCCGAAGCCGGUGGCCCAACCCCCUUGUGGGGAGGGGCCGUCUAAGGUGGGACUGGCAAUUGGGACUAAGUCGUAACAAGGUAGCCGUACCGGAAGGUGCGGCUGGAUCACCU
rnacentral:rRNA from 1 species